CCUACGGGUGGCAGCAGUGGGGAAUAUUUCGCAAUGGGCGAAAGCCUGACGCAGCGACGCCGCGUGAGGGAUGCAGGUCUUCGGAUCGUAAACCUCUGUCAGCAGGGAAGAACGGUCACUGUGCUAAUCAGCAGUGAAUUGACGGUACCUGCAAAGGAAGCACCGGCUAACUCCGUGCCAGCAGCCGCAGUAAUACGGAGGGUGCGAGCGUUAAUCGGAAUUACUGGGCGUAAAGCGCGAGUACGCGGUAUGUCAAGUCAAGGGUGAAAUCCCCGCGCUCAACGUGGGAACUGCCUUUGAAAAUGGCAAACUGUAGUGUGUGAGAGGAUAGUGGAAUUCCAGGUGUAGGAGUGAAAUCCGUAGAUAUCUGGAGGAACAUCAGUGGCGAAGGCGACUAUCUGGAACAUAACUGACGCUGAGGAGCGAAAGCGUGGGUAGCAAACAGGAUUAGAUACCCCAGUAGUC
rnacentral:rRNA from 1 species